CCCGGAAGUGGUACUCCGCAUAAGCCUCUUUUCCAGCCCAGUCCUCUAAUUCAACCCUGAGGACAGAGCCUCUCAGAGUGAGUAAGUGGAGGUAGUCAUUGCCUAGCCAGAACUCUCCUUCCCCCUUGUCAUUCAGGCUGCCGAAACCUCUCUUGUAGUCUUGCCAGGUCCGGUUAAAAUUCAGUGAUCCAUCCAUUCUUUGCUGGAUCAAAAGCCAUCCUCCCAAACUGGUCUCUUGAUCGCAAUAAACAGAAAAUAUCUUACUGGAUCCAGGUAGCUUGAUACUGAAAAUGCC
rnacentral:lncRNA from 1 species